GCUGAAAGGCUGAAACAUCCGAACACUGCUGGACGACGCUGUUGAGAUCAGUUUAACACAACUUUCUGUUUAAUUUCAAAGUGCUUUCAUUUUGACCACUGGGCAAAGAUCUAGUGAAACAGAAGGAGUGAUCUAUUUUUUUUUUUUUUUUUUUUGGUCUUCUGUCGAAAACUUCCUGGAAAAUGAAACUAAUGUUUACCCAGGAAAAGCUCUGAAACUUACAUGGUAAUUUUUGUGCUGCUACAAAGUACAAGACAUCAGUGAAACAAGACAUUUUCUGAAAUCAAGACCUAGGUAAGUGUAUCCAGCUCAGUUUUUUUCCUAUUUGUUUUAGUUACACAAACUACAAAAUGUUUAGUAUAGUAUUUUAAAGUAUGCCGAGGUAUAUGUCAAGUCUAAUAAAACUGAUGAGUGUCUUAGUCAAACAAUAACCAAACAAUAACAACAGUAUUUACAGCAAAUCAAAAAGAUGAUACCUGUUUCUGAACUGAUUAAGGUAUAUUUGCAUAGCUACCUUGGUAAACUGUUUGCAUGUCCCUUUUCAAAAAAACAAUCUGAAAAGGUAAUAAAUGAGAACAUUAUGGUAAAACUUCUAGGCUCUGAUGUAGAUGUCUGCUUGUUUUUGAGAUAACAUCUGUACAUUAUUCCUUAUAAAUAACAGUUGUAUCUGUUGACAGUGUUGAUCAUUCUGGUGAAUAGUUUGGCCUGCUAAAGAAACCCUCUCGCUCUCAAUGGACUCCUCGUUAUGUUUCCCCGAUCUUCAACCUCUCACAGAAAACAUAAUGUCUGUGAUGUAUGAACUGAAGAAAAAGAACUUUACAGACAACACGCUUCUCUCCAACUUGGACUUUGCUGAGAAAUUCCUCAGAGAUCAUCCUCUGAGAAAUGACUCAAAAUUGUUGGUUAAAGGAAGUUACUCUUGUGCACAAAUUGGUAAAAGUAGCGAGCAGGUUUUUACUAUAACAUCAGAAAACAACAUAGCCUAUGUCAACCUCUGUAUCCACAACAAGUAUGAUGGUAAAGUCUAUGACAGUUCCAUAAAUGCAAAUCACUUUUUCAACCACUCCUGCCAGAAUGAGAUUAAAUCCUGUUUUACACAAGCUAGAGAAGCUAUUCCUAAAGGAUAUUUGACAAGACUACAAGUAAAAUGCAACAGGUUCUCAAUCUCCUAUACUUCCACCAAUAGAAAUAGAGGCCCAACUGUGGAAACCAAGUGUCAGUUGAAGCUAGAGAACAUCACUGCUGAGGGUUUACUGUGCAAAAAAUCCUGGCUGGAAAAAGAGAAGCCCACAUCUCAUGGAUUGAUCGCAUGUCUGGAUCAUCUCAUAAUACAGUACCUUACCACCUUUAAUGCUCCACAGAGCAACUGUAGAUUCAUCAUAAAUGCAGACAAAGAAGUGAUCACAAUCACUUCAGGUGAAGAAGGUGAAACAGAAUAUGUACUGCUAUAUGAUGGUAAAAGUGUCUCAAUGUUUCCACCAUCACUGUAUUAAAAGCUAGUCACAGCAUUCCAUAAAUCUGCAACAUAUUUGCUCGAAAUGUAUUAUUAUAUGCAUGGACUUUGAUCUGACUUCUAAAGUAUUAAUGGUUCUUAACUAAAAGCACUGGGUGUAAUUACAUUACCAUAUGUAAAGUGUAUCUUUAGGGACCGAGCACCGAAACGGUGGCGAAAAUUUACGUUUGUUAUGGGUUUCGGAAGUAGGCGUGGCAAAAUGACUUUACAGCGCCACCUAUGCACAUUUGACAGACUGGCCCCCAAGCUACCAUUCACGCACACAUACGAAAAUUGGCACACACGUCAAACAUGCCAAAACCUACAACAAAAGUCUUUUGGAGCGAUAUAUCAAACCCAACAGGAAGUCAGAUAUUUUUAACUUCCUGCGCAAACAAAGUGCAGUUUUUGCCAUUUCCAGGCGUUGUAUUUUAACGAACUCCUCCUAGGGAUUAAAUCGGAUCAACACCAAAAUUGGGUUUUGUCAUCUAAAGGCCUUGGCGAUGUUAAAUUGCGAAAAUCUUGAGUUUUCCAAUCAAACUUUGACGAUUCGUCACGAAACAGGAAGUCAUUAUAACUCAGGCAUGCAUUGUCCAAUCUGCCUCAAAAUUCACACGUUUGAUAAGAGUCCUGACCUGAACACAUUAGCAUGCCAAUAUCCUGUUACAGUUAUAGUGCCACCUGCUGGCAACAGGAAAUGAAAUGUUUUACAGUGUAGCAAACUUCUACAAAUUGUAUCACAUCGAGUCAGUGUUCCAUUAGUGUAGUUCAAAGGCCUUUGUGAUGCUAAAUUGUGAAGAUCUAGAGUUUUCGCAAAAGUGUCUUUGGCAGAUUGACAAAGUCCAGUGCUUCGCCAUGGAGCAGGAAGUACUUAUAACAAUGUCUGAUCUGCCUGAAAAUUCACAGGUUCGAUGACAUUCCUCUCCUGGAGACAUCUACAUGCCAAUAUUGAGUCACAGUCAUAGCGCCACCUGCUCCUUAAUAUAUUAUUGUCCACUGUUCUCUGUCAUCCUAAGGCCAUCGGGUGGCGGUGAGGCCGGGUGCAGGGUCCCGUUCAUCGCUGCUUGCAGCUUUAAUUGGUUUUAUGUUUCUUUUUUUGUGUGAAAAGCAAAUACUGUAAUAUUUGAUCUGCAUGGCUUCCUAUUUCAUCAGUGUUUCACUGACCAAAAAUAUUUAGUUGAUUCUGAA